GAUCAUGGCUCAGGAUGAACGCUAGCUACAGGCUUAACACAUGCAAGUCGAGGGGCAGCAUGGGAUUAGCUUGCUAAUCCUGAUGGCGACCGGCGCACGGGUGAGUAACGCGUAUCCAACCUUCCCCUUACUCAGGGAUAGCCCGGUGAAAACCGGAUUAACACCUGAUGGUUUCAUUAGAUGGCAUCUGACGAUGAAUAAAGGGUACGGUAAGGGAUGGGGAUGCGUCUGAUUAGCUUGUUGGCGGGGUAACGGCCCACCAAGGCUACGAUCAGUAGGGGUUCUGAGAGGAAGGUCCCCCACAUUGGAACUGAGACACGGUCCAAACUUCUACGGGAGGCAGCAGUGAGGAAUAUUGGUCAAUGGGCGAGAGCCUGAACCAGCCAAGUAGCCGUGCAGGAUGACGGCCCUAUGGGUUGUAAACUGCUUUUGUACGGGAAUAAAGUCAGGGACGUGUCCCUGUUUGCAUGUACCGUAAGAAUAAGGACCGGCUAAUUCCGUGCCAGCCGCGGC
rnacentral:rRNA from 1 species